UUUUUUUUUACCUUUUUCGGGACCUAUCGCCUCGAAUGGAAAUUCCCACCGUUCAGCAAAUUCGACACUCAAAUCACCACGUUUAAAUCAAGCAAAUCACGCCAAAUUAUUGGCUUCUAUCGAGCAAAUAUUACCGGUAUUCAUUGGAAGAUUGGCGCUAGCGAAAAAUGGCGUGAAUUAGAGCAGCAUUAACAUCUAUGUGUCAAUCCACGAGGUUUUUCCAACAACAAUGCGUAACAAUGUUGCGAUUUAUAUUCAGACGACUUAAAUAAAAUAGUAUUUGCUCGGAA